rnacentral:lncRNA from 1 species
UUUGCCCUUUCCGGCUUCUGUAGGCUGCCUGUGCUCCUUUGUUCCUUUUUAAAGGCUGACUGGGCAGUAGCUUCAAAGCUGUCUCCCCUGCUUCUCUCGUAAGCUUUUUUUUUGGACUCUGAUGCUCUUGUCCCAGCAGGCCAGUUUCAAGGCAAUCUCCUCAAUUUUCACUGAACCAUGUCUGCAAACUCCCUUCUGUCACCUUACAGAAAGGAUCAUCACAUUAGGGUGACGGGAGUGUGGGUUGGGGGUUGUGGGUCUUGGUGGGGAACACGAUUCUGUAAAACACAACCAACAAAGUUGGGAUUGGGUAUCACCUGUGGGCGGUUUCCUAAUAUUAAACUCUAGGGUUUGCUCUGUAGCCCUGAACUAGGCGUCUUCAUCUUACCACACUGUUUCUUCAAAGAUUUCCCAGUCUAGCUUGUCCCCUUUGUUGUUCUUUUUUUUUUUCCUUUUCUUUUUUUUUUUCCGGAGCUGGGGACCGAACCCAGGGCCUUGCGCUUGCUAGGCAAGCGCUCGCCCUUUGUUCUUUUAAAUUUACUAAUACCGAAGUCAGUUCUCCAAGGACAAGUAGAUUGGGGACAUACAUAGUGGGAGGUGGAGGUUAUUAAAUUGAUGGAGGCCGUCCCCAACUAACAUAUCCACAUUCCAUCGUUCUACCACGUCAUGGGUGAGGAAUGCCACUACGAUUUGGUAACUUAUACACAAAGGCAGCUUUCUUUCCGUCUUGCUAAAUGUUACUCCCACCUAUCUCAGCACCCAUGCUAGAAACCUGGCCUACCUAUUCAUCCUCCGCUUUUCCAUCCCUGGCCUCUGCGUUUCCAUCCCUACCACCAGCAUCUUGGUUGUAGCUCUGUUUGCUUCCUUGGCCCAGCCCUUGCUAGGUCUGUUCAUUUUUUUCUUUUCUUUUUUUUUUUUUUUUGGAUCUUUUUUUCGGAGCUGAGGACCGAACCCAGGGCCUUGCGCUUCCUAGGCAAGCGCUCUACCACUGAGCUAAAUCCCCAACCCCGGUCUGUUCAUUUUCAACUGCCUAUUUAAGACGUCUUUGCUUGGAAUUAAGUCUUCAAAUCCCGCACCCAGGUAAGCCUCUAACUUUCGUGUGAGACGGCUCUUCUGUUUCAGCCAGGAUCAAUCAGACCUGCAACCCAAUUUCUGUGGCUUCAAAGCCCACAAGUCCCCGCUUCUUACGGGAAAGAUGGAGUCUAAUGGGCUCCAUACUUAACACUUGGUAGUCCUGGAAGGUGGAGUACUUAUGUCCCGGCUUCUGUCAGGGUCUGAAGUUAGGAGUUCGAAUGAGACCAGGUUCCCCCGGCAGCCUCGCACGCAUUAUCUCGCUCUAAAUCGACACCUUUCUAGAGCAAGCAGGUCGGGUAUUAGUCUUCUCACUUACAGAACGAGGAGACUGAGUCGUGGUCUUUCGGGCCUGGCUUUCAUAGCACCUUGAUGCAGUUAAUGACUCCCUUGGCUCACUCUUUCUCCUUGUCCAACUUUCUCGCACCUAGCUGACUGCCCAUCAGGCCAGCGCCUAACUGCAGAAGGACGAGGCUUUCUGCAACAGGCGCUCCUGCUCUUCCCCAUACGCAGUGACGCGACCGAUGACGCUAUUCAGUGACGUGCGAUGACAAGCCUUGCCCCGAGCCAGGUGUCCGCAGUGCGGUCACACCCUGAGGGCCCAGUUCAGGAGGGGCAGUGGCUCCGACCUGGGGGGAGACGCGCCGCAAGACCCCCGCCUGAAGCGAACUGAGGCCCUGAAGUCCUGGAUCCUACCCGCCCGCGGUUGAUCC